AGAGUUUGAUCCUGGCUCAGAAUGAACGCUGGCGGCGUGCUUUACACAUGCAAGUUGAGCGAGGCCACCCGCAAGGGUGAGUCGAGCGGCGAACGGGUGAGUAACGCGUGGAUAACCUGCCCUGAGGUGGGGAAUAACCCGGGGAAACUCGGGCUAAUACCGCAUGAUACCGAGAGGUCAAAGAGGGGUCGCAAGAUCUCUUGCCACAGGAGGGGUCCGCGUUCGAUUAGCUAGUUGGUAGGGUAAUGGCCUACCAAGGCGACGAUCGAUAGCCGGCCUGAGAGGGUGAUCGGCCACACUGGAACUGAGACACGGUCCAGACUCCUACGGGAGGCAGCAGUGGGGAAUUUUGCGCAAUGGGCUAACGCCUGACGCAGCAACGCCGCGUGGAGGAUGAAGGUCUUUGGAUUGUAAACUCCUGUCAGCAGGGAAAAAGGGAUAGGGCCUAAUACGUCUUAAACUUGAUUGUACCUGCAGAGGAAGCCCCGGCUAACUCUGUGCCAGCAGCCGCGGUAAU
rnacentral:rRNA from 1 species